UGUGAAUAGCACGUGAGUAGUUUGGGCGUUAGUAGCAAAAACUAACUUAUUCCUUCCCGAUCUUAACUCUACUUUCUUCUUCGAUUACACAAGAACUCUAUUAUGCUUAGAACUCUCCCACUAUUUCUCUCACCAUCUCUGUAACUAUAAAUCUGAAUCUCUCACCACUUCUAAUUUCUAUCAAUUUCUAUUUCUUCUCUCCCUUCUUCAUUUCUAUUUAUUCUUCCCUUCAGAUUUGGGAGACUUGGGUUUAGUUGUCGAUUUUGAUUUAGAACAACUUCUGGCUUCUAUCGUCAAUUUUGAGGUAAUUUCUUUCGAAUCUUAAAGAAAAAUGUAAUCUAUAUCGUUACUUUGUUGGUUAAAUUCUGAUGGUGCAAGAAUUUUUUUUUUGUAAUUUUAGUUUAUAUUCUGAUCAUUUUAUGAAACCGUAAUUCAUUGCUUUAUAAACCAUAUCUGUGUAAUUUUAGUUCUUAUGUCGUUAUUUUCUUGCAAAAUCCUCUCGUUUCUUAUGCCUUUUUGCUUCUUAGGCCCUUUUUCUUUCGUUGCUCCCCAAUUGCAACAGGUGUUAAUCUCUCUCUCUCUCUCUCUCUCUCUCUCUCUCUCUCUCUCUCUCUCUCAUUACUCUUGUUAAAAUACAAAAAUUGGGUGUUCAAAAUUGUGAUUUUGCUUUGUUGUUUUUAUUGUUAAUUUGUACGAGGAUGAAUUCAAGAAGAUCAAAUGAUCCGUUUUCUUAUUUUUCUAAUAUUUUUCCAUGUAUGAUUUCAAAUUUUAUUUAUUAAUUUCAAAUUCUUGUGGUAAUUAGUUAUGUACUGCAAGGGAGAUAUAGUCCAUUUGGGUUUGAAUGACAUCCCUAUUUCUGAUAUCUCAAAACUUUUAACAAAUAAUUGAGUUCUGAGUACUCUCGAAAAAAAAAAAAAAAAAAAAAAAAAGAAGAAGAAGAAGGAGAGCAUCACUUGGAAUACCUGAUUAAUGAUUCUUUUUCUACAAAUGUAUUAAUUACUCCCCGUUUGUAUUUAAUGUAUAGGCUUACAAACUUGUUCUUUAGUUUUUUUGAUAAUAAGUUAUGGUAUGACCAAUAUUCAGUUGUUAAUUCUACUGUAUCCGACGAACUACACACACCAUUAGAGUGCUGGUGGAUCCCAUUUACAUUGUAUGGUGGCAUGUUGUCUGAGUUGUACUUGAAUGUUGAGUCUCUCCAUUAGAAUAUGUUAUGGUUAUUAUCAAUAACAGUUGUAUGCUUAGCAUGGAAUAUGAGUUUGAGUCCUUCUGUGAUUGUCUUUAUGAGUGUUUCUUUAAGAUUUUUUUCAUUCUCGAAGAUCCUUUUGUUUCUUUUUCUCAAUAACCAGUAGGUAGUGGCGUAGACUGUAACUUGGCAAAUUUCUUUGUGCAGUUGUUGUCCUUUGAAGUAUCUGCAUAUCCAAUUCCAUUCCAUAUGUGCGUCCUCUAACUUGUCAUUGGAGCUCACACCAGUUCAGAAUUUCAGUCCACACCUUCCUUGAAUAUCUCCAAUUAAAAAAUAGGUGUUUAGUAUCUUCACGAAAAUGCAUUCGACUAAAACUUUCACCACCAAUAUUUACAGGUACCAAUACAGGGAGAGCCUGAUUGGACUGCAUAUAGGAGGGUAUCUGUUGAGUGACUCGUACUGGGAACCCUUUGGGUACUUUGUGGUGUUUGUCUGCCUUGUACUCUCUGGGAAACUUCAUACUCCAAGUUACAAAGGACAAUUAGUUUCAAGUAGCUUGCUCCAUCUCAGUAGUUUAUCCUGUGUCAAAAGUGCUUCUUGUACGGCAAGCCAAGUAAUAAACAUAUCUCACCAAAAUCUUUUUUGAGUGUAAUGGUAGAUUACUUUGGUGUUGAAGAGUUAUUCUCUUUCUUAAUUUUAUUGACUAUUUGACACUUAAAUCUUUCUUCACUCAUAACAAGUGAGCAUUGUGCACGUUAGCUAGCUGUCUGUGCUAUGAGCACAAAGUCAGCCACAGAUACAGUAAUGGGUCCUUAUACUUCAUGCUCAUAUAGAUCUCUUUGAAUGUGCAAGGAGAUUGCGGUGUUCUAUAGGAUAGGGACCUUAUAGCAAUUUAAUAUUUAGAUCUAUAAUUUGAAUCCAUGUAGAUGUAAUGUAGCACAUGACUUAGAUUCAUUGCACUUCAACUUUGUUUCUCUUUAUUUGCAUCUUUCUCUAUAAGUAGGACUAUUCAUUAGUCAUUAGAAUGCCUGAACGUGAAUGGCUACUGUAGUUAUAACGUACAGAGGUAAAAUGUAGUAAAACCUACUGUGUUGGACUCAAUGAAGCUGGUAGGUAUUGGGUCACUACUUCACUUGGGUCACAUUAAUAUGCAGAACUUGUUUGUGUGGAAAUGGAUCACUAUCAUCUUUGUGAUCUUCCCUUCUUGUCAUAAAUUUAGGUGUUCCUUUUUCAUUCUCUUGGAAAAAAUGAUCAUGCAUGUUGUUAAUUUUAGGAUUGUUUUCUUUUUUAAUGUUGCAGGAUAGCUAUGAUCAAUGAGGCAUCAAACUAAUUUCUUAGGGACAGUUCAUAUCUCAGGGUAUUUUUUUUCCGGUGAGUUAUACUUCCAGCAAGUCAUCACACACUAUUUUUUCACUUGUGGUAUGCAUCAUAUGACACUAUAUGUUUAGGAAGGACUUAAAAGUGGAGUGAGUAGACAAUUAGGAUACUCUGUGUAAUCUGGCAGCUUCCAUUCACUCUUGUUAUGUAUGUUUUUAUAUUUUCUGAACAACUUGUUUUGUUUAAGAUUGCAUUAUACUUUGUAAUAAUUGUUAUGGUCACAUAAAAAUCUAGCAUAACUGAAUCUGAUCUGAAUUGAAUAAUACUGUUAUUUUCAUAGUAUUUUUGGAAUAUUAAUUCCAAAUAAUUUAUGGCAGAAGUUACAGUAUGAUACAUAUAUGUAAGGACACGAGAACAUAGUAUGUUUUUUUUUUCUUCUUAAUCUAUCCCCUUUUUAACUCCGCCAAAGCAAACUUAUGAAAACCACUGGUCCCAAGACCGGAUAAAAGAAGAGGGAAAAGGGUAAUAUUGUUAAAUUAUUUUAUAGUUGAAUUGUAAUACUGUAGUUUAAUUGUAUCAAUAAUUAACUUGAUUUUGUUUAUUACAGAGACUGCACAGGGUACAAGAUACCAACUGAAGUGUUGAAUUUUCCUGCAAGACCUAACUCUUCUUCGAUUUCUUCGUCCUGGGCGAAACCUACCAAUGAUGGUCAAGUUAAUAAGUUAGUAGUGAAUGAUGAAGAAGAGCUUUAUAAGCCUAAAAAACUGUAAGUCUAUAUAUCUCCAUUUGCCGACGCAUUGAGUUCAAUGAUGUAAACAACAAUCUAAGAAUAUUUCUUCUCCGCACUAGGGCAGGUGGUUUGGGUAUCAAUCUCACUUCAACCGACACCUAUAUAUAUUGUGACAGUGAUUAGGGUAAGCUCUCUCAUGGUCUAAAUCUCUAAACAUCUAUUGCAUCUUCCCCUCAAAACCCUGAAAUGGAUUUGCAUCCCAUGGAUAUUUGCCAAAGGAUAGGCCAAACCCGACCAAUUCGUGUGUAUAGUCAUUAGAGCUUUGUUUACUAUUGUGGAUGUCUUUUGUACUUGUGAAUACUAUUUCUCGUUUAAAUUUUUUUUGUCAUAUGAACUAAUUAACUUUUCUUUAAUUAGUGUCGCAUAUUAGAGAGAGCUUUCAGUAAGUUGAGGCGUGAGCAUGUAGUGAUUGGGAAAGGCCAGUUCCAGUAGGAGAGAACCAAGUCAAAUUCUUUGAAUGUUCUUGAGGUUUGUGUUCUGUUACCAUCUCGCAUCUUGGUUGCUUUGUUAUGUUAUUAAACCCCUGGUUUGGAUAUCAAAGAACCACCCAAUGUUUUGAAUAUCCUUGGGUCUCUAUCAAAAGUAGAGACAUGAGGGUAGUAGCAACAUUGUCGUCACCUUUAUGUUUUUCACUUAUCUUUUUGCAUGUUAGACCACCAAGUUGUUCCAUGUCGUCAUCACCUUUCACUAUGGUACAUAAUCAGAAUUAUGUACCUAGGCAUUGUAGUUUGAUAUUUUUCAUUUUCUUUCAACAGGCUGACAUCUAGAAUGUGAUGGAUGCUAUUGGAUCAACACUUUAUGUUCUGCAAACAAUGGUUUCCUGUCUAUGCUCUGUACUCUCAAAGGUGAACUGGCUAUAGUUGUUAGGAGUUUAAUUUUUUCUAUUCCUCAAGUUGAUUAUAACCAAUUAACCACAAACUUCAAAUAGUAAGUUGUGAUGUUGAUAUUUGUCUUUUUUAUGUAUAUGUUUUUCUUUCCUUGGUUCCUAUUAACAAGAGUUUGUGUUUAAUAAAAAAAAAUGUGUUCAUUAAGUUCGAGAUUGUGAAUGCUUUGGAAAUGUUAAUUGUUUAUUUAAUGUACUAAUUAAUUGCAUUUUCGCUUAGUUAGUUA
rnacentral:lncRNA from 1 species